rnacentral:rRNA from 1 species
GGCUGAGUAACACGUGGGCAACCUGCCCUUUGCACUGGGAUAGCCUCGGGAAACCGAGGUUAAUACCGGAUACUCCAUAUUUGUCGCAUGGCGAAUAUGGGAAAAGCUCCGGCGGCAAAGGAUGGGCCCGCGGCCUGUUAGCUAGUUGGUGGGGUAGUGGCCUACCAAGGCAAUGAUGGGUAGCCGGGUUGAGAGACCGACCGGCCAGAUUGGGACUGAGACACGGCCCAGACUCCUACGGGAGGCAGCAGUA